UACAGAGGUCUCAAGCGUUGUUCGGAUUCAUUGGGCGUAAAGGGUGCGUAGGCGGCGCGGUAAGUCGGGUGUGAAAUCUCGGAGCUUAACUCCGAAACUGCAUUCGAUACUGCCGUGCUUGAGGACUGGAGAGGAGACUGGAAUUUACGGUGUAGCGGUGAAAUGCGUAGAUAUCGUAAGGAAGACCAGUGGCGAAGGCAGCUUACUACACAGUUAUUGACGCUGAGGCACGAAAGCGUGGGGAUCAAACAGG
rnacentral:rRNA from 1 species